rnacentral:tRNA from 1 species
GACUUUGUGGCUCAGUGGUAGAGCGCUUGCCUGGAAUGUGCAAAGCUUGGGUUCAAUCCCCAGCAUCA